rnacentral:tRNA from 1 species
CGCGGAGUGGCGCAGUCCGGCAGCGCGCGUGGCUCAUAAUCACGAGGUCAGGGGUUCAAAUCCCCUCUCCGCAACCA